rnacentral:rRNA from 1 species
AGGGUUCGAUUAUGGCUCAGGAUGAACGCUAGCUACAGGCUUAACACAUGCAAGUCGAGGGGCAUCAUGCUUAUAGCAAUAUAAGUGAUGGCGACCGGCGCACGGGUGAGUAACACGUAUCCAACCUGCCGAUAACUCGGGGAUAGCCUUUCGAAAGAAAGAUUAAUACCCGAUGGUAUAAUAAAACCGCAUGGUUUAAUUAUUAAAGAAUUUCGGUUAUCGAUGGGGAUGCGUUCCAUUAGGCAGUUGGUGAGGUAACGGCUCACCAAACCUUCGAUGGAUAGGGGUUCUGAGAGGAAGGUCCCCCACAUUGGAACUGAGACACGGUCCAA